CACUACCAGUUGAAGCUGCCAGCAUGAUCUUAACUUUUCUCUUCUACUUCUUCCUCUUCUUUCUUUGAGGAAAGAUCAGAUCAUGCGGCAGUUUCACCUGUUGUUG